GAUGAACGCUGGCGGCGUGCCUAAUACAUACCAGUCGAGCGAACAGACGAGGAGCUUGCUCCUCUGACGUUAGCGGCGGACGGGUGAGUAACACGUGGAUAACCUACCUAUAAGACUGGGAUAACUUCGGGAAACCGGAGCUAAUACCGGAUAAUAUAUUGAACCGCAUGGUUCAAUAGUGAAAGACGGUUUUGCUGUCACUUAUAGAUGGAUCCGCGCCGCAUUAGCUAGUUGGUAAGGUAACGGCUUACCAAGGCAACGAUGCGUAGCCGACCUGAGAGGGUGAUCGGCCACACUGGAACUGAGACACGGUCCAGACUCCUACGGGAGGCAGCAGUAGGGAAUCUUCCGCAAUGGGCGAAAGCUUGACGGAGCAACGCCGCGUGAGUGAUGAAGGUCUUCGGAUCGUAAAACUCUGUUAUUAGGGAAGAACAAAUGUGUAAGUAACUAUGCACGUCUUGACGGUACCUAAUCAGAAAGCCACGGCUAACUACGUG
rnacentral:rRNA from 1 species